CGAGCCCACGAUUUCAAAUCCUCUUUGCUGCAACCUCUCGAGGACCUGUGAGGGACCAAGACAAGCACCGGUUAGGAGCGAGGGAAGAGCCUUUGUCCUGCUGGGGAGGGGACGGUGGUGACGCUGGACAGCAGCUAAGCACCUGUGGACACUCACCAAGCUGACAUGCCUGGAAGCAGCGGCCGGCCCAGUCUCUAACAAGGUCUCUCUCAUUGUGUUACCAUUUUCUGCACGGUUAAGCUCACGCAGGCCAUUCAUUUUUCUUGGCAGGCUCUUUUUUGUUUGUCUUUCUGUACUUCCUCAUACACAUUUCCAUCCUCUGCUCAGCAGAAAACUCCCUGCAAGGCUGAACCAGCCCCUUCUUCUGAACCUCGGCCUCCUCUCCCUUCUUCAGGGAGCUCCUUUAACUUCAUCAUUUCAAUGCCAGGCUUUUAGAGCUCAGCGUGGCUCCUUUUAGAUUCUCCAGCCCUGUUCUCAUCCCCCCAUUCUGGUCUCUGAAUCUUUUGAAAUCUUCCUUUAUGCCUAGGCUCUGAUAUGCUCGUGCCCUUUCUUUGUUUUUUACAGACUCUUAACUAUUUCUGUAGUUUCGUCUUCCUCAGGUACUCAGGCAGGAGUCUAUGGCCAGCAGCAGAUUUGGGAAGAGUUCUUCUUCAGAAGGAAGUGAUCCAGAGCAUCCCCCUCUCCUUCCUUCUGAGCCAGCAGCUUUCAGGCAAGUAACUCAUGGCCUCAGUGAUGCCAACAAAACAGGGAUGCUGCCAGGCCCACUUACCUCUGGGCAGCCAUAUCGCUACAUAGCCCUGGGUCCUCUUAAAGAAAAACUGGUUAAUCACAGAUUUAUUAUUGUGCCUGAAUGAUUUUUAAAUCCCCAAAUACAUAUUUUAAUAGAUUUUCUUCUUGAGGCUUAUGAUGAUUUUUUGAGGCAGGAUGAUCAAGAUCAAGGUAGAUAUGGAUGGGCUCCAAAAUGCAAACAGGCUGUGUUUCAAAAACUAACGUCUUGAACAAAUAUACAGAAAUCAGAAAACAAUUUCCCCAGAGGGAAGAAAAUGAGAUACAUAGUCUAUUAGCUUCCUGGUGCUGCUGUUAGAAAUUACCACCAACUUGAUGGCUUAAAACAAUAUCUCGCGGGGUGGACACCAAGCCUCCUGCAGGCUCAAGGGGAGAAUUUCCUUCCUUUUCUUUUCCAGCUUCCAGAGGUGCUGGCUUUGCUGUUUCCUGGUCAGCCAUCAUGUCACUUCCGUGAUCACAAUGCUUUAUCUUCCUCUGAGCAGCCUGCCUCGCUCUUCUAAGGGCCGCUGCGAUUACACAGCCCUCCUAGAUUAUCCAGGAUAAUCCCCCAUCUCAAGGUCCUUACUUAAUUGAAUCUGCGACUCCCUUCUGCCAUGAUUUCAUAAACUUGUUUACCAAGCCUUCAGUGUCUGGAGAGAAGCACGCCCAGCAAAUGAGUCUCUCUACCCGGAAAAAGCUUCUCCAGGGCCGGGGGAAGAACUCUGAUGACGAGCAAGCCCCGGGGUACUGCUGAGCACGUGCCGACCUAAAGCCCACAUGUGUAUGGUGCAAUUCUACCACAGCCUCCAUCCACUUUCUGCUGCUCCUCCCAGGUUCCAGACGCCCUGUAAUGUAUGGCCUGUCACCCUGAGGUUCUGUAGGAAACAUUUCAAGGCCCUGGGAUGUGUGAGUUUCUCUUGACAUGUUUUGGUUCCCCCUCCCCCAGCCUGUGCUAUAGCUAGAAUCUUCAGCCAGUUAAAGGUGUGCUCUGGAUUUAAAACUGAUGGACAGCAGGUCUUUGUGGGCUCUGGAAUGCACAUGCAAGGUAAGAAGCAACUGUCCCCGCUCCAGGCAGGUGAAUGAGUGGGUGAGUCUUCAAGGAUGACCCUCUGGAAUUGGCCUCAGCCAAGCUCCACACGGGAGAGUUUCCUCCUCAGCAUCGCAUCUGAGUGCUCUUGGAGGGAAGGUUGUGCCUGCCACACAGGUCCACAGCUGAGCAUUAAACCGAAGUGCGCACUUUCUGCAACAUGCUGUACUGAACACCAAUUUCUAGCCCUAAUUCCCAAUAUAUUGUUUGUGAUUUCCGGGAAAGAAAACGUGGCUAUCUCAUGCAUUCUUCAAUAAUGGGAAUUAAAUUAACAUACUAGCCUGACAAGUAUCCUAGAGUGAUGAUAUUAUAUACGUACAUGUUCUGUAUUUUUUUUUUUUUUUUGGUUUGGUCCUACAUGAUUUUAAUAUACAUGCUAUUAAACUGCUACAUAUAUUUAGUUUAUUAUUAUAUCUACUUAUAUUUAGCUUCUGGCCUCUUGUGACUCUCCCUUUUCUGUUUUAAGUUAAUUAAUAUUAAGCAAUUAUGGGUCUAGCAUGUGAUGUCCUCCAGAAAAACAUAAAAAUGUCCCUGUGUGUGAGAAGCUUACAGUGCAGCAAGGAAGUCAAGUUACAGACACAACAUACCAGAGUCAAGCUCAAGAACCUACACAGCAGGUGUACACGAGCCAGACAAAUCAGAGCCCAGCAUGACGGGAGACUCAUUCCAUCCAUCUACCCACCCCUCCACCCACCUGGGCACCCACCUGCCCACACCACAAAUACUAACAAGUUUAAUGCAUGGCAGGUGCUGAGCAGAGGGGACAUUCUCCACAGCUACUGCCAACCCUUGUCCUUUGCCCACCUUUCUCACUAUGGAGUUUGAAACAAAGGGGAAAACACCACUUACUCAUUUUCCCCUGAAGCCAGGGUAGGCUUAGCUCUGGCCAAUGACCCAUAGGAGGGAAACCUUCUGAGGGAUCUUUGGAUGAAGGGAGAGACUUUUGCCUCUUUUUCCUGUCUUGAAUGAAGACAUGAUGUCUGGAGCUAUGGCACUCACCAUAUAACCCUGAGGUGGCAGAACAAUGAGGAUAGCAAAAGAAAAAGACAGAGAGUCCUGGUCCUGGCUAAUCAUCGAGCAGACACCUCAGCCAACACCUGUGUGCCACUCUCUGGCUUCUUAUGUGAGGAAAACAAGUUCAUUUAAGCCACUUGCUGUUCUGACUUGGUCAGCUGAAUGUAUUCCUAACCUGUAACUGGACAGACAGAGCUAACUUAUAGACAGAUCAUUACAAACGUACUGUACGAAACCCCAGGGAAUCCAGGUUAUAGCAACCUGAAGGUAGACUUGGGCCAGGAGGGCUUCCAGCGGUUGAUGAGUAAGCUGGGCCCUGAAUUCAAACAAAGGCUGGGGGAAAACUGCAGAGGUGGCGGACAGUCUGUGGUGGCGGAAGCAAAGACGACGGUGCAUGUGAGGAAGCAGAACUGUGGGUACAGGUUAGGGCAGAGCUGGGUACGGCGGUGCACCUAGAGCCUUCUGGGCCACUUUGGCUCUAACAAGGAUAAGGCACUUUGCUCAGGGACAAGGGAAGUCAAUGUGGAGUUUCUGGCAGGAUUACGAGCCUUGGGAGAAGCUCCCUGGUCCAGGACAGGGUGGGAGACGGAGACGGAGAGAGAAAGGUGACUGUGGCUAUCCCAGGGCAACAGGAAGAGCCUUGGGGAGAUGGGACUGUCCUGAGCCUUGGCUGUGUUGGUGUCAGCUUCCUGGUUAUGAUGGUUACUGUGGUUUCACAGGAUGUCACUACUGGGAGGACCUGGACAGCACAGGAUCUCUCUAUUUCUUGUAAGUGCAGGCGAAGCUAUAACCAUCUCAAAACAAAGACUUUUACUAAAGUGUCUCCUAGUUUCACUGCAGAGAGCACGUAAGGCUCAGAGAAGGGAGACCAAUUAUGAAGGCCUUCCCAGGAGUCCACAGCUGCAGGACCUCUGGCUAGGGAGAUGGGAAUGAUUUGAGAGGUGUCCAGGCGGCGCGAUGGACACUCGCUAAUGGAGCGUAUGUGGGAAGCAGAGGAGGAAAACACCACAGUGACCCCCAGGGGCCUGCCCUGAGCCUGCAGGUUGGUCCUGGCGUCUUUACUGAGACACGAUGCACAGGUGAGGGGGGUUUCGUGGUGGUGGUGGUGUAGAUCAGGAGGCUAUGAGAGUGGGGCACUUACAUUUAAGGAAGCACUGAACUGUCCAGGUAGGGAUGCUGAGCGGACAUUUGGAAAUGCAAACACGCCCCAAACGAGGUGAUUUUAGUAUUGGACCAACUAAGCUUUUUCCUGAAGUCUGGGUUUUCCAUAACUUAGGCAGCAAAGAACAAAAUUCUAUGGUUUUUUCCUUACUAAUCGACAUGUCUGUACCUGUAAAAAUUUGACUUCAUUUUUAACAAGUGCACUUAAAAUUUUUAUGGUAUUAUUUUAAUUAUUUAAUAUGUGGAUGCCUGCUCAUUGUUAAUAAAUGAAUGAAACACAGAGCUAAAAGUGACAUUUCUUCCCUCAGGCGUUGGCCAAUUUUACUGCUUUCCCUCUUUCCCUCUAGGAAACCAGGAGAAUAAGAGCAAAUGUCCCAUUCAAUUCCUGGUACCAAAACAAAACAAAAGGAACAAAUGUCCCUCACCUCUCCACAUCACACUUCAGCCCCACUCUAGGGUCUUAAUUGCUCUUCUUUAAGGGGAAAAAGUCCAGAUCUGAUGGUGGGUGCCUGGCCCUGGCAGCACUGGGUCUAACUACUGGUAGGGUCCUUGCUGGAACUGGUGCUUUCUUUCCCAUCUCACAGGGCCAGUUCCUGCUUUUUGGCAGACUCGACUUUCUCCGAGCUCUCUGCCCCACCUGCAGCUGGUGUGGGAAGUAAAGCUGCACUCUUCAAGCCUAGGGGCUUGGAGCUGUCAUUUCAAUCCAGUUAUCUUCCUCCGCAGCGGGGUCUGAGCAUGGGUGUCCCCGGCAAGAGGGCUGGAGGCAGAAGACUUUGCUUCUGCCACUGACCAAAAGGGCCUUACCUAAUUCAGCUCCUACCUGACAGCCCUGGAUAAAAAUUUGCUUAAAUUUUAUUAUUAGUAAAGUGGCACUGAUGAAAAUACUGGAAACUGAUUCAAAAACUGACAUGUUAAGAAAAUAUUGUAUGCAUGAUAUAUAUUACCCUCAAGAGCCCUGCUCCAAGGGGAGUGCGCCAUAUUGGAAAUGACUUUUCUCAGACUGCUUCUCUCCUGAUUUGGAAGACAGCAUCAUUGAUGAAGCAGCUGACUUUCCUUUGGAAGGCACAUUGCACACCCAAACCCUCCCGACUUUAGAUCCUAGACUCACACUCAGCACUGUGAGGUGUACGCUACCAAGAGGACCCUAGAGCUGCCUCUGGCUGGUGGCCAGCAGGUGCAUACAUCUUCCUCAGGUCCAUACAGGGCUGUAGGUGACCUGCAUAUGUUAGCUGCAGUUACUACCCUCUCCCUGAUUUUCUUUUCAAAUGCACACAGUUGUUUUUACGUAAAAUACAUGUGCAUGUAAUGUAACUUCUCAGUAUUUUCUUUUCCAUUUAACUAACAAUUCUUGACACCUGCCUCACUGUUCAAAAUUCAGAAUAAAGACAGAUGAGAGGCCCCGAACUCCGUAUUACUUUGGGAUCUACUCUUCUAGAUUGUUCUCUCUGUAUUUAUAUGGACACAUACAUGACUUUUUACAUAAGUGGGAAUAUAGUGAACAUAUCCUUCUGCAACUUACUUUAUUUUUGCUUUCACAUCUUUUUUGUAUGAGUACAUACUGGUGAUAAAGAUUAAUGGGUUCAUUUUGGAAGAUGUACAUAUGCAUACAACGUACUUUGAUCAUUCCCCUCACUCCUUCAUCCCCCUUGCUUGCCUCUGCAAGUUAGUAUUUUCACUGAGUAACAAAAUUUUUGCCAUUCUCCACAAUACAUCAAUAAAUAUGGAUGGGCCAUAUUCUUUUAAACUAUUCCAUACUAUGGAUACUUUGUGCUACUUGUAACCACUUGCCAUUGUUGAGCAUUGUUUAGGCAUGUCUAGUUUUUGCUAUUAUAAACAUGACAAUAAUAAACAUCCUAUUGAACAUAUCUUUAAUUACUUAUUUAUAGAAGAUAAAUUAAUCUGCCACAAAUAUAUACUCGUGAUAUUUGUAAAAGUUAAUAAAUAUGAAAUUACUAGAUCAAAGAUUAUGUAUAUUUGAAAUUUUAAUAGCUACUGCUGAAUUGCCCUCUGAAAAUGUUUAAUAAUUGUCACUCCUACCAUGCUGUAUAUGGUCAAACACUGUAUAUCAUGAAUUUUUAAAAUUUUUGCCAACAUAAUGAAUAAAAAAGGAGCA